GCUGUCAAUUCCUCUCUUGAUCAUGUCUCCGCUCUUUAUUCAACUAUUCAUGACUGAGACUGCUAGGCGGGCACCUGUGACAAAGCAGUCACUAUGGUCCAUCUUUUUUAAGUCCAUCAGAGAGUGUUACAGUUCUAUUAAAUGUGUUGCUGCAGUAAUUUUUACCAAAGUGAUUCUGAUGGUAAAGGCUCAAAUCAACAGGAGCCAGAGAUGAAAAUCAAAAUCAGAGAGUUAAUAAUGAAACAACUUCUGGAAAAGGAGGUGAACAAAAGAGUAAGCCAGUGUCUGAUCCAACUUCUGGCAUUUUGGUACACCUCGAAGAUUGGUGGUAAGGUAUAGGUCAAACACCCCAUUAGUUCUAAAAGGUAUCACACUUGGCAUAAGAGGAGGCAAGAAAAUUGGGGUUGUUGGUCGCACAGGGAGUGGAAAGUCCACCCUUAUACAGGUAUUCUUCAGGCUAGUUGAACCUUAUGGAGGGAAGAUAAUAAUUGAUGGCAUCGAUAUCUGCAAGAUUGGCUUGCAUGAUCUAAGGUCUCGCUUUGGGAUCAUUCCACAAGAGCCGGUACUAUUUCAAGGAACGGUGAGAACCAAUGUGGAUCCACUUGGUCUUUAUUCCGAGGAAGAGAUAUGGAAGUACGCCCUGCCAUACCUGGGAUGCUUUCCAACUGGCUCAUGCAUCAUUUAGUCUUUAUUGAAUUCGGAACAAUGCAGUGGUUCCCCGGAACAGCCAAAUGGCUGGUUGUAAUCUGGGGGGCCAUCUCUUCUUAGGGAGGAUCCCAUUGUUGAAGUUGCUUUGACCGAGGCUAAUGAUGGUGAUGAAGAAGAUGGCUCUGGGAGUAAUCUUUCUGCUGUUAAAAUCCAUGACGAUGAAGUGAGUGUGAGAUUUUUGGUCUGUGGGGUGGCAUGCUCAUUGGAUGCAUAUUUGUUGGGAUGUUUGGAGGAUGGACUGAAUGCACUUUUGGGCAUAGAGGGCAAUAAGAUAACGAAAAAGAUCUCCUCGGCCAAGCUAGCAAACCAGAUUUUCUCUCUUGAAUGGAAGAACAGCAAGAGACAGGGCCAUGAAUGUGGCUGGCAAUUUUGACAGCUCGUGCUGGGUCUGGUUCUGGCUGCCUAGCCGUGGUGUAGCUUCUUCUGGUUGCUGAUUUGCUUGUAGCUGCUGCUUGGGUUGCUAGUCGUGGUGUGGCUGUGCUGUCUCAUUCUCUGUUGCAGGCUUGGGGUCAGUGGGAGCAGUCUGCAGUCUGUUUUUUUUUUUUUUCUAUUUAUCAAAGAUGUAGUGCUCUUUAAUGGAUGUAUGACACAAAUAUUGAAGAAAAUAUAUGUGUUUUAUGUAUAUUAUGAUUA